rnacentral:rRNA from 1 species
CCUACGGGUGGCAGCAGUAGGGAAUAUUGCUCAAUGGGGGAAACCCUGAAGCAGCAACGCCGCGUGGAGGAUGAAGGUUUUCGGAUUGUUAACUUCUUUUGUUAGAGAAGAUAAUGACGGUAUCUAACGAAUAAGCACCGGCUAACACCGUGACAGCAGCCGCGGGAAUACGGAGGGUGCAAGCGUUACUGGGAAUCACUGGGCGUAAAGAGCGGGUAGGCGGGAUAGCAAGUCAGAUGUGAAAUGCUAUGGGUUAACCAUAGAACGGCAUUUGAAACUGUUAUUCUAGAGUAUGGGAGAGGUAGGUGGAAGUCUUGGUGUAGGGGUAAAAUCCGUAGAGAUCAAGAGGAAUACUCAUUGCGAAGGCGACCUGCUAGAACAUAACUGACGCUGAUGCGCGAAAGCGUGGGGAGCAAACAGGAUUAGAUACCCGGGUAGUC